CAGCCGCCGCGGGAACACGAAGGGGGCUAGCGUUGUUCGGAUCUACUGGGCGUAAAGGGCGCGUAGGCGGACUGAUAAGUCAGGGGUGAAAUCCCAAGGCUCAACCUUGGAACUGCCUUUGAUACUGUUUGUCUUGAGUUCGAGAGAGGUAAGUGGAACUGCGAGUGUAGAGGUGAAAUUCGUAGAUAUUCGCAAGAACACCAGUGGCGAAGGCGGCUUACUGGCUCGAAACUGACGCUGAGGCGCGAAAGCGUGGGGAGCAAACAGGAUUAGAUACCCCAGUAGUCCCUGUCUCUUAUAC
rnacentral:rRNA from 1 species